rnacentral:rRNA from 1 species
UACGGAGGGUGCAAGCGUUAUCCGGAUUUACUGGGUUUAAAGGGUGUGUAGGCGGCUUUGUAAGUCAGGGGUGAAAUCCCGGGGCUCAACCCCGGAACUGCCUUUGAUACUAUAGAGCUUGAAUUAUGUUGAGGUUGGCGGAAUAUAACAUGUAGCGGUGAAAUGCAUAGAUAUGUUAUAGAACACCGAUUGCGAAGGCAGCUGACUAAGCAUAUAUUGACGCUGAGGCACGAAAGCGUGGGGAUCAAACAGG